rnacentral:rRNA from 1 species
UACGUAGGGGGCAAGCGUUGUCCGGAAUCAUUGGGCGUAAAGCGCGUGUAGGCGGCUCGAUAAGUCUGCUGUGAAAGUCCAAGGCUCAACCUUGGGAUGCCGGUGGAUGCUGUCGAGCUCGAGUCCGGAAGAGGAGUGUGGAAUUCCUGGUGUAGCGGUGAAAUGCGCAGAUAUCAGGAGGAACACCGGUGGCGAAGGCGGGUCUCUGGACCGAUACUGACACUGAGGAGCGAAAGCGUGGGGAGCGAACAGG